GUGAGGAAUAUUGCGCAAUGGAGGCAACUCUGACGCAGCCAUGCCGCGUGCAGGAAGAAGGCGCUACGCGUUGUAAACUGCUUUUAACCGGGAAGAAACCCCAGGACGUGUCCUGGGUUGACGGUACCGGAGGAAUAAGCACCGGCUAACUUCGUGCCAGCAGCCGCGGUAAUACGAAGGGUGCAAGCGUUAUCCGGCUUCAUUGGGUUUAAAGGGUGCGUAGGCGGAGCGUUAAGUCAGUGGUGAAAUCCUGCAGCUUAACUGUAGACUUGCCAUUGAUACUGGCGCUCUUGAGUGCGCUUGAAGGGGGCGGAAUGUGCCGUGUAGCGGGGAAAUGCUUAGAUAUGGCACAGAACACCAAUUGCGAAGGCAGCUCACUAAGGCGAUACUGACGCUGAGGCACGAAAGCGUGGGGAUCGAACAGGAUUAGAUACCCCAGUAGUCC
rnacentral:rRNA from 1 species